UGAUUCAGGUACACCACCUUGUUGCAUGAUCUCGUCAGAUCUCAGAAGCUAAGCAGGGGUGAGGCUGGUUUAUACUUGGAUAGU
rnacentral:rRNA from 1 species